CCAAAUGUUACCCUCCCCCCAGCUUUCAUCUCUCUCAAAUCCCCUCCGAGAAACCCUAGAAGCCUCCGGGAUUCCCCACCACCAUUGAUGGUGGCGCCGACGUCCAAUCGCCACAAAACUUACACCAAACACUCCCCUCCUUCUCCUCUUUCCGAAUCUACAAAUCCCCACUCUCAAAUCCUAACCCAGUCUCUCGAAUCUUGAGUCGAAAGGAAUGACCGAAAACCUAACUCAUCCGAUUGGCCCCAAAAUUACACCCCAUGAGCCCCAGGAUCCCCUCAUACCAAAUCCACAACUACUCUCCUUCAAAUCUGUCCGGAGCUCCGCGAAUCUUGAAUCUGAGGUCAACCCCAAAAGUUUAAAACCACUUUCCGUCAAUCCCGGUACAUGCAUGGUCAGAAGGCACCGUUCUUCGAGUUUUGAAGUUCAAACGAUCGACCUUAGCUUUGUUAGGGCUUUUGUCUCCGAUGGAUUUCGAAUAUAAUCGGUGAGUUUUCUUAGUCUUUUGUUCGUUCUUGUUAUUUCACCUUUUAUUCUUCUUCUUCUUUUUCUUCUCCGUGUAUUUGGGCCUUCUUCUAACUGAAAUUAGUUUCGAACCUAGUUUCUCCCCUUUAGGUUAAUCUGUUUGUUUGUAUUUAUUUCCCUUCAUUUUUAGUUUUCUUUCUUCUCAAUUUCUAAUAAUUGUGCCCUGAUUUUGUUUGUCCAUUUUUGUUUAGUUUUAGGAUUAAGUUUCUGAUUUCCCCCCUCCUUUUUUCUCACUAAUUUUAUACGUUGUAGUAUUUCCUGCUUUCAUGUGCUUAGUUUUUAUUUGUUUCUUUUCUGAUGAUCUUUAGUAGUCAAGUGCAAUUCUGAGUGUGAUUAGUUAAAUUUAAUGCAUACCUAAAAUCUGAAGCGUUUGAGUUUGUCCUCCAGUUUUAGAUUUGUUCUUUUUCUAUGGUUUCGUUUAAUCGUUUCCGAGUAUUCAAGCCUCUUAUAGUAAUUAUGGUCACCACUGACCCAGUUAAGAGGUUGGUUUAUUUGGACUGUGGUUUAUCUUAACCCUUGUUAAUAAUUGAGGGGUAAAUAACAGGGGGUUUUAAGGGUGAUCUGGGAAUUGUAAGUAGAGAAUCUCUCUAUAACUGAUUGAGGAAGCUUCUAGGAAGCUGGGGAGGGGACUGUUUUGCAAAAACAGAAUUUAAACUAGGGGUGUUUAAGCUAAAAUGAAAAUUAAAAAGGGACCAAAGGGCAAAAAUGAACUCUUAAGGCCUGCCCUAAUGCCUUGCCUAUAAAGACAUCUCUAUCUUGCCUUUCAAGGCAAGGAUUGAAAGAAUUUAAAAAUACAGACCCAAGAGAUAGAGAGGAAAAAAAUACUGAAAAUAAAAACAGCUGAGUUUUCUUAGAAAAUCUGGAACUUCUGCGUUUUGGUUGAAGACUAAAAUUUCUGCUUCUGGUUCACAGUUUUGAUUCUUUAGUAGUGUAGAAUUCUUGGAAAUUUCAUGAUCUUACUGCUGAAAUUAUGAAAUGGCUUGAGUAGUUGAAUUGGUUAAAAUUCGGUUUGAAAGUUUCUACUGUUCCAUUGGCAUUCCUAUGUUGAUUUCAUCUGCUGAGUGGUCGAAUCUGGGGCUGAUUGCUAUUGCCUGUUGCUGACAUUCUCAUCUUUCUGUUGUUUUGCUUUCCAGGUAUCUCUUUGGCUCAUGAUUGACUGUGUAAAUUGAGUAGAAAUUUGAUGGAAUACAAGUUGUGCCAAUUUAAUGUUUCCCUGUCCUUACUGCUUUAGCAUUAUGUAGUAAAACUGUAGUGAUAAAUGUUAUAUGAGCCAACAUUUGCACAUUAUAAAUCUGGUUUGGGGUUACAGUUAAAUGUUCAGUUUUAGGAUGAAUAGCAUGUUCAGAAGUGGUGUGAACAAGUUUUGUAUAGAUAUUUGAAUAUGCAUAUAGGCUGAGGUUCCUACUUGGGAUCAAAUGUAUAUGAUGUUUCCCAGUUGCUGUUCUGCUGAUUAAAGUGUUAGCUACGGUCGCAGACAUGCUUUGUGUUUCGCAUUUGUUGUUUAGUCAGUGUGAAAUGCCUGAGCCAUGCUGAGAUCUUUGGUCUGAUUGUUGAAAUUCAAGUAAAGUGGGAUUUUAAUUGCUGGGUUAGAUGCUAUCAGUAUUUAAUUGAGCAUGUUCGUUUAUUGUAGGAAUUGGCUAUUUAAUCCUA
rnacentral:lncRNA from 1 species